rnacentral:lncRNA from 1 species
UUUUCUGAAUACAUUUUUAUAUUAUAUUAUUUGGAUGUACUACACUAGAUGAUUAGAAUUACUAUAUUUUGUAUUUUAUCAAAAGAAGAAAUGAGGCUAAGAAAGCAGUUUACUUGAAGUAAUGCUGAAUUUCUUCCUCAUGAAUGAGAACAGCUUAUAAAAAUGACUGAAAGGGGCCCUAGAAAACAGUGGCUGGAAAAACCUUAUUGUUUUAAGUGUAGCUGAGGGAAGGGCCCCGUGCAUCAGCUUGCAUAGCACUUUAGAAAUAGUAUUUCAUUAUUAAAUAUUAAGUUUUCUAAUUAACCCUUGCUUAGAUAGGGUAUUACUGCUGUGAACAGACACCAUGACCAAGGCAACUCAUAUUAAAGAACAACAUUUAGUUGGGGCUGGCUUACAGGUUCAGAGGUUCAGUCCAUUAUCAUCAGGGUGGGAGCAUGGGGGAGGAGCUGAGAGUUCUGCAUCUCAUUCCCAAGGCAAACAGGAGAGGACUGACAUGGCCACAGUGACACACCUACUCCAGCAAGGCCACACCUCCUAAUAGUGCCCCACUCCCUGGGACAAGCAUAUACAAACCAUCCCCACCCUUGAAUGCAAAAACUAACUGUAGUAAUUCUGUGACACUGGUUUAUUCAAUGAGGAAGUCUUCCUUGGUGAGAUAGACUUCUCUAUACCUGAUGAGGAACUCUGUGAUGAUUCUAAACCCAUUGUGUACAGGCACUAACCAGUGCUUGUUUGUCAAGGUAAUUACAGCUUGAUAACAUACAUUUCUCUUCACACAGACCUCCAAGUGAGAAAUCUUUCACACUUUUGCUUGUCUUCAACGAGAAAUGUGUACAUACACACAUACAUACAUACAUACAUACAUACAUACAUACAUACAUACAUACGAAUGACCAUAUCUGUCUCAGAGAGCUUCUCCUCUGUUGGAGGUAUUGUACUUGAAAUCAUAAGGCCAGGCUUUGGUGAGGAAGGGUGUCAAGACAUCUAAGGCAUAGCUGAUUAAUGAAGAAUCACACUGUGAGGUCAGAUAACAAGGCUUCAUUCAAUUCAUGGAAAAACUUUAAACUUCUAAUUCUGCCUCUGAUGCCUUUGCAUGCUUUUUUUCUUAACGAAUAUAGUGUUUAUUUUAAGCAGUAAAUUGCUGUUGUCCUUUUAGUUGAGUAUUUGAAGGAAAUGCUGUGUUCCUGGAGUAGAUGAGCAGGACUGUAUAAAUUAUAUUUGUGAUUUAUAGACUAAUUGUUUAAAUUUCAUCUGAGGAGGAAUUUGCCAAAUACAAAAAUAGCAUUUUACUUAACAAUGAAAACUAAUUUGCCUCCCAAAAGUUAAAUAUAUUAUGAUGAAGUAUUUUAAGACGGAUGGCUAUUGCAGUAAUGUAAAGCCAUGUGAGAUCGAGGGCGUAGGGAUUCAUACCUGUAAUCCUAACACUCAAGAGGCAGACUCAAGUAGAAGUGCAUGAGUUUAACACUAACUUGGUAGCUAACUUCUGCUACUGAGAAGAUAGACUAGAUUAACUUUCCCUGCUGCCGUGUACAAGACAAAGCCCAAAGUAUCGGGGAGGGGGCCCCUAGAUACAGCAGCUCCUGGAGAGCUCUUAGUAUGCUAUUCUAGGCUGGGGUAUGAUAAAGUGCUUAUCUGACUUAUAUGGGUCCCUGUCCAUAUAUCCAGUACCACUAAGAAAGAAAGGGAGAGGGCUAGACAGAGGGUCUUGGUAAGAUUCUGGCCAGUCUGGCUACACAGUGAGUCCCUACUUCAAAAAAACAGACAAGCAGGGGCUGGAGAGAUGGCUCAGUGUUUAAAAGCACUGGUUGCUCUUUCAGAGGUCCUGAGUUCAGUUCCCAGAACUCACAUGGCAGCCUACAACCAUCUGUAACUAUAGUCCCAUGGGAUCUGAUACCUCUUCUGGUGUACAGAUGUACAUGCAGACAAAACACCCAUAUACAUAAAAUACAUAAAUAAAUAGAUGGGGGAGGGCAAAAAUUCACUGUACCCAGACAAUACAGAAAACAGGGGCCAUAUCCAGUACUAGACUAAUAUUUCCCAGUAUUACUUACAGUAAAGAAAUGGUAACACCACUUCCCAGCUACAGUAUCAACAGAGGAAGCCAUAGAACAGAGGCCUAAAUGCAAUCCAGAGUCUCAUAACUUAGUCCUCAAAAUUCCUUGCAUCAGGUGGAAGAUUCCCGGCACACCUACACCAGGAAGAUCCACUCUGAGUGAGUAAGAGAGGCUGGGUAUGUUGGCCUACACUGGAAUCCUGUGCUGUUUAGUUAAAUAAACCUGAAGCAUGACUACCAAACCUUGUCAAAAGAAUUUUUAGAACUUAAAACUAUAAUAAUUGAAAUUAGUAAGUCUGAUACAGGUGUGACUGAGAAAAGAAAUAGCAAUUGGCCUGAUGAUACAAUAGAAGCUGGAGCUGGGGAGAUGGCUCAGGGCUUACAAGCACUGGCUGUGUGCUUGUUCCUCCAGAAGACCUGUAUUUAGUUCCCAGCACCUGCAUGGCAGACACCUAACCUUUUAACUACAGUUCCAGGGAGUGCACUGCCCUCUUCUAGCCUUUGUAGACAAUGUAUGCACAUGUAAAUGCAUAUAAGUAGGUAAAGUAUCUAUACAUAACCUAAAAUUAAAUUAAAUCCUUUUUUUAACAUUUAAGACAAUAGAAACUACUCAGUUUAAACUACAGUGAUAGACUAGAGAUGUGGCUUAGUGAUAUAGCAUUCUAGUAUGGAUUAAACCCUAGAUUUGAUACCUAGCAUCCCCCAAAAAUAAAUUUUAAAGCAGAUUCUGAAGUACAGGGAAAAAAUAACAUGGGAGAAAGAAUGAAUAGUACCAAAUAGACUCGUGGGACCAUAACCAAGGUCGUUAUGUAUCAUUAAUCCUAGAAGAAGAAGGGAAAAAUACGCUUCUUAAAUAUUUAAAACAAAUAAACAAAAACAUGACUGAUUAUAAGGAUCAGGGGCAGGUUAUAUACAGAUUCUAACCAAGCCAACCCAAGCAGAAUAAUACCAGAUAAAUCCAUAACAAAGAAAGCUCUGUAUGGUCAAAUUUCUGCAAGUGAAAGAAAAAGAAAACGUAAACCCCAGUUGGGUUGAAGUGUGGGACAGCAAUUCAGGUCCAGGUGACAGCUCUCUCAUCAAACAUCAUAAGACAGGCUGGAGGUGGCCCUGUGGUUAAGAGCACUUGUGCUCUUGCAGAGGACUAGGUUCAGUUUGCAGCAUUUAUGUAGCAGUUCACAGUCAUUUGUAACUCCAGGUCCAGGGGAUUCCUACGCCCUUAUCUGGCCUCCAUGAGCAUUGCGCAUAUGGGUGCACAUACAUAUAUACAGGCAAAACAUUCACAUAAGAAUAUUUUCACAAGAAACCAUGGGAACCAGAAGAAAAUGACACAUUUUUCAAGAGCUGAAAGUAAACAAUUACUCACCUAGAAUCCUGUACCUACAACAAUGUCUUUCAGGAAGGAAGGGAGACUCAAGGCAUUGUCAGAUAAAUACAUCUGUCAACUGCAGAUCUACCAUAGAAGAAUGUCUAUAGGAAAUGAAAUGAUUAGAAAAUGGGGG